rnacentral:rRNA from 1 species
AGAUUGAACGCUGGCGGCAUGCUUUACACAUGCAAGUCGAACGGUAACAGGGUGCUUGCACCGCUGACGAGUGGCGAACGGGUGAGUAAUGCGUCGGAACGCGCCGAGUAGUGGGGGAUAACGCAGCGAAAGCUGUGCUAAUACCGCAUACGUACUGAGGUAGAAAGUGGGGGACCUUCGGGCCUCACGCUAUUCGAGCGGCCGACGUCUGAUUAGCUAGUUGGUGGGGUAAAGGCUCACCAAGGCGACGAUCAGUAGCGGGUCUGAGAGGAUGAUCCGCCACACUGGGACUGAGACACGGCCCAGACUCCUACGGGAGGCAGCAGUGGGGAAUUUUGGACAAUGGGCGCAAGCCUGAUCCAGCCAUGCCGCGUGUCUGAAGAAGGCCUUCGGGUUGUAA